rnacentral:rRNA from 7 species
GGUUGACCUCGGAUCAGGUAGGAAUACCCGCUGAACUUAAGCA